rnacentral:lncRNA from 1 species
AAAGGUGAUCCAGAUAUAGCAUUCAUUUGUCCUGCCUCACCAUGAACUUUAGCUGUGUGACUGUAGAUCAUUUGUAUACUCCACCUUUUGCUUCAUAAUUGAUGAUCAUUUGCAAAUAUAGGUUGAAGUCUGGCACUGUUUACACCUCAAUCUACUUCCAUUUUUUUUUUCAUCUUUAGAAGACAUCCUAAAAUCAUAAUAUGAAAAUCAGAUUGAUCGUGGAUUACAAUUUGCAAUUAUUCAAUAAUUUUCUUGGAGUUAGGUUAUAAUUUCCAGUCCUCAUUGUCAGCUGCACAAGUACCAGGAGGCUAGCA